AUUCAUCCAACAGCACAGCACAUAUUUUAUCAUUGGAAUGACACGGAGAUUAGUGUGGGCCUUGCACAAGGAUGACAUGCCAGUUGAAGCAAAAAACUAAACUGCUU
rnacentral:snRNA from 1 species